CCCUGACAGAUCCAGUGUGGAUCUGACAUUAGCCACGACAGGAGUAACUCAUG
ncrna:unclassified sequences Mu-gpT-DE RNA